UACGUAGGGUCCGAGCGUUGUCCGGAAUUAUUGGGCGUAAAGAGCUCGUAGGCGGUUUGUCGCGUCUGCUGUGAAAUCCCGAGGCUCAACCUCGGGUCUGCAGUGGGUACGGGCAGACUGGAGUGCGGUAGGGGAGAAUGGAAUUCCUGGUGUAGCGGUGGAAUGCGCAGAUAUCAGGAGGAACACCCGUGGCGAAGGCGGUUCUCUGGAACGCAACUGACGCUGAGACGCGAAAGCGUGGGGAGCAAACAGG
rnacentral:rRNA from 1 species